UAUGUGUGGUUUGAUACAGAUCCUGCAUGUUGGCAACAUGUGCAUUGGUCCAUCAUUUUGGUUUCAUGUGAUAAAACUGCUUGAUAUAAAGUUAAGUACAAUUGCAUUUUUAAUAAAACACGCAGUGCAUAUUUUGAUGUGUGCCUUUUUCCUUUGUAAAGAAAUGAAGAGUUUAUGUGUGUGUCUGCUUAACUUGAAUAUUGCAAUAUUUUCCACAGAAUUUCAUUUGUUUACGCCUAAUAAAACUGCCCUUCUUUUUGGAGGUGAAGCUGACAUUUCUUCCCGUGUUCUUUAGGCCUGCAAGCAGUCCCUGGGCUCCUUUGAAGACUACAGGCAGUGCUACACAGAUCAGUGCUGCUGUGUAACACUAGAACCCUCUGUUCCCCAAAAUGCAGUUCCUGUAGAGAAAACCCGAUCUGCUGCUGCUGGGAGCUGUCACACUUGUAAUUCUAAACAGUUUUUUUUGCUGAAAUAGUGAUCAGGUGGUGUGUGAGAACUGAUUCAUGCGCUCAUGACCGUUCAUAUUCCAGAGCUCCCAUCAAACCUGUUUAAAACAAAAUCUUUCCUGGGGCUCAGCAUUAUGAGAAGAUGGUGAUUCAUUGUUCCUGGGGGCUGGCUGGAGGAGUGUCUGUUUUCCCAGCAGGCAAAAUCAUUCCUUCUGGUAAUCUGGGAAUACCAAGUGCUUGAAACAGCAGGAAAGAUUGCAGAUCUGGAGACAGUAGAGAGGGAGGAGCCAAUCUGUGCAUCUCUGAGCUUAAGAGGAAGAUCUUACUAAGGACUGCUGAGCCUGAACAGCUGCCUUGUAGGAAAUGGGAAGUUGAAUGACGUGAAGCCUUGAGCUCAUCCUGGAAAUCUCCUUCCCUUGCAUCACCCAUCACCCCUCCAGCACUUGGCACUUCUGUUCAGGGCCAAGGUGGGAAAAAGCCUCUGGAUGCUGUCCCCGGAUUCAGUCAAGAAUGGUGAUUCUGGCACGUUGCUUUGUGCCUUGAAGAGCAGUCACUUGACCCACCCAGCCCGGGGACAAGCAGCUGUGACAGUGAGGGGUCCCAGGAAAGAAGUUGCAGGGUGCCCAGUGGAGAAUCCUGUGGUGCCCUGGCAGAAGGAGGUUGUGUGUGGG